UCUACGCCUAGGACACCAG
rnacentral:snRNA from 1 species